rnacentral:lncRNA from 1 species
CGCGCUGGAGCCCCUGAGGUGUUGGGGGUGGGGACUCCACGCGCGAGGUGACGCCGUGGCUGCACGAGGACAUCCCGGCGCGCGGAGCCCGGUGGUGAGCGCCAUAGUGUGGGAGGCGAGCCUUGGUGCCCUUUAGCUGGUGUGUUUGCCACCUGCUUCCUGGAAGAAAGAACCUCAAUCACUGGACACAGACUCAGGGUCGGAAAGGUGACGUUGUCCUAGGGUCAUAGCUAGUGAGUGACCCUGUGGGGUUGUGGCCUGUCUCAUUUCCCAGUCGCUGCUUUUCAGCUGCUUCCCUGGGUUACCCCGCUUCUGAAAGGGCACCUAAGGGCCAGAGUGGAAAUCCGACUUCCGACCGACAGUUCUCCAGGAUUCUGUGGAUCUGAACUCCCUCCUGUACAACAGUUCUCCAGGGUCAUGUGGAUCUGAACUCGCUCCCUUACGACCGUUUUCUAGGAUCCUGUGGGUCUGAUCUCCCUCUCGUACAACAGUUCUCCGUGGUGUGGAUCUGAACUCCCUCCCAUAUGACAGUUCUUGAGGAUGGUGUGGAUCUGACCUCCUUCCCGUAUCCUGUUGUUGACUGGGGCACAAGGUCGGACUUACACACCUUUCCACCUGUGAGACCCUUCCGUUUUGCAUUUGGCCUGUCUGCCAUCAUUCCCUGGCCCUGUGUGGAUUCCAAGUCCUGUGACGCCUUGCUGUUAGAACGCUCCCUCAAGCUGUAAAUGAUAAAGGACUCAGGUAAUGUACUUUCUCGGAAACUCCUAAAGCAAGAAAUCAUCUGUGAUCUGAAGGGAAGAGCUUUUAUGAGUCUUUAUGGGCACGUUUCAGGCAUCUGGUCAGGCAGUUGUGUUACUGUUUUUGGUGCGCUAGUUUGCAAAGCUGUGUGUGGCUAGGGCUGGCUUCUAGCAGACAAGGAGCUGACGGUCCUGGGUGAGACAAGGUGCCUUGGCCGAGGCUUUCUGGGUCCCAUGCUGGCUGCCUCCACACAGCUGGAGCACAUGAUGAUCAUGGACCAUACAGGCCAGGCGGAGAGCACACUGCAUCCUGGGAGCCGCGAUCAUUUGCUCUCUUAGCGCCGCGGCAUUGGAGGAAGGUAGAUGUGGGUCACUAAAGGUCCCUUCAUCCUCUCUGUUCCCUUUCUUCUGGUGAACCAGGCUUGUCUGCCCUCUUGCUGGAAAUAUCUUUGUAAAUAAACAGAAACUUUUCCACUUGACUUGUUUUAGA